AUACUUACCUGGCACAGAGGUUAACCAUGAUCAUCAAGGUGCUUCUCCCAAAGGGAGGCUCUUCCAUUGCUCCUUAGAUAGGUUGACCUUUGCGACUGCCUCAAAUGUGGGUGACUUGGAUGCACUAUUUCUAAGUGUGAUGUCCAUGUCCAUGCUAACACU